AUUGAACGCUGGCGGCAGGCCUAACACAUGCAAGUCGAGCGGCAGCGGAAAGUAGCUUGCUACUUUGCCGGCGAGCGGCGGACGGGUGAGUAAUGUCUGGGAAACUGCCUGAUGGAGGGGGAUAACUACUGGAAACGGUAGCUAAUACCGCAUAACGUCGCAAGACCAAAGAGGGGGACCUUCGGGCCUCUUGCCAUCAGAUGUGCCCAGAUGGGAUUAGCUAGUAGGUGGGGUAACGGCUCACCUAGGCGACGAUCCCUAGCUGGCCUGAGAGGAGGAACAGGCACACGGGAACUGUGACACGGGCCAGACUCCUACGGGAGGCAGCAGUGGGGAAUAUUGCACAAUGGGCGCAAGCCUGAUGCAGCCAUGCCGCGUGUAUGAAGAAGGCCUUCGGGUUGUAAAGCACUUUCAGCGGGGAGGAAGGUGUUGAGGUUAAUAACCUCAGCAAUUGACGUUACCCGCAGAAGAAGCACCGGCUAACUCCGUGCCAGCCGCCGCCGUAACAC
rnacentral:rRNA from 1 species